rnacentral:lncRNA from 1 species
GUGUGGUCAUAUUACCUGUCUCUGAAAAGACAAACUACUCUACUUCAUACUAUUCUUCGCGUUUAGGUGCGUCUCUGUGUAGAUUUUCGUGAAUUCGCUUCUGUCUCGCCUGGAAAUUUGGUGGUGAGUACCGCCGGCGUUGCCACCGUGUUGCAACAUAUUCUUCUAACUCAGUGACAUUGGUUAACUUCAGAUAGAGUCCCGUUAUUCGAGGGAAAGUCAGCAAGGGUUUUGACUGUUGUGGUUUCACGUCUGUUUUGCCUUGUCGGAGCCGAGGAUAUCUCAGCAGAAGUUUGCAGCGAAGACUUUUGCAAACUCUUGUCUGUCCCUGGAAUUAGUCGCCUGCUUAUGCGCGUACACAUUUGCACAUGUACAUGUAUGUAUACGCCAAUACACGCAUUAGUAAAGUCGCUUCCCUGGCAUCGUCUGUGUAUCUGUAUCUGUUGUCGUCACUGCCUCUUGGUUACUUCUGUAGGUAAAUAAGUGCUGUUCCUAGAAAUCCUGGAUUAAUGACUAGUCUUGAUUCAGUUACGUAGCUGGUCAUGUCUACAGCAUUUGUUUCUGCAUAACUAUGGCAUCGAUUGGUGAGUGAAGUGGCGAAGGGUUUUCCAGUGGAACCAUUUGUGUUCCUUCUUGGCUUAAUAUGGCUUCAACAACACGUUUACCGAGUGUUGCUGGGAAGGGGGUAGGAGUCCAUGGACGACCUGUCCCUCACCUCUGUAUCCGUAUCCAUCUUUGGCCCUGCUCAAGAACAUGUGGAAAACAUUGUGCAAAUAUGUGAGCACCGCCGUUCUACACCUGACUUCUUGUACGGCCCACAGCGUCGUCGGUUAGCGUCCUCGUGGUUUGACGGUACCUCCCUUCAAAUCGUUUCAGCGUACCUCCAGUUCGCUUCCUGAAAACGGAUCUGGACACUGUUGAACUUACUCAAAGAAUGUCUUCAUCUAUGAAAACUAGGGGACUCGCCUACCUUUCGUGUUGAUGCAUUAAUUCAGGUUGUGCCUUGAGUUCCCCCACGAAACGUUUGAUGACCGAGAGGUAGGGCUGGUUCAUGGCAUUCAGAUCCAGCCUGAAGAUUGAGUUACCUUUUGUAGCCAC